GACCUGUGGCUCAGUCGGGUAGAGGUUCAGCUAUGACACAGAAGGUCCGGGGUUCAAUCCUCGCUGCAGUCA